CACGUAGGGGGCGAGCGUUGUCCGGAUUUAUUGGGCGUAAAGAGCUCGUAGGCGGUUUCGUAAGUCGGAUGUGAAAACUCCAGGCUCAACUUGGAGACGCCAUUCGAUACUGCGAUGACUUGAGUCCGGUAGGGGAGUGUGGAAUUCCUGGUGUAGCGGUGAAAUGCGCAGAUAUCAGGAGGAACAUCGGCGGCGAAGGCGGGUCUCUGGGCCGUAACUGGACGCUGAGGAGCGAAAGCGUGGGGAGCGAACAGG
rnacentral:rRNA from 1 species